AACGAACGCUGGCGGCAUGCCUAACACAUGCAAGUCGAACGAGUCCUUCGGGUCUAGUGGCGCACGGGUGCGUAACGCGUGGGAACCUGCCCUUAGGUUCGGAAUAACUCCCCGAAAGGGGUGCUAAUACCGGAUAAUGUCUUCGGACCAAAGAUUUAUCGCCUUUGGAUGGGCCCGCGUUGAAUUAGCUAGUUGGUAGGGUAAAAGCCUACCAAGGCGACGAUCCAUAGCUGGUCUGAGAGGAUGAUCAGCCACACUGGGACUGAGACACGGCCCAGACUCCUACGGGAGGCAGCAGUGGGGAAUAUUGGACUAUGGGCGAAAGCCUGAUCCAGCAAUGCCGCGUGAGUGAUGAAGGCCUUAGGGUUGUAAAGCUCUUUUACCCGGGAUGAUAAUGACAGUACCGGGAGAAUAAGCUCCGGCUAACUCCGUG
rnacentral:rRNA from 1 species